UACGUAGGUGGCAAGCGUUGUCCGGAUUUACUGGGCGUAAAGAGCGCGCAGGCGGUCGUCCAAGUCGCGUGUGAAAGCCCCCGGCUCAACUGGGGAGGGUCACGCGAUACUGGUCGACUCGAAGGCAGGAGAGGGUAGUGGAAUUCCAGGUGUAGCGGUGAAAUGCGUAGAUAUCUGGAGGAACACCGGUGGCGAAGGCGGCAUCCUGGACCAAUUCUGACGCUGAGGAGCGAAAGCCAGGGGGAGCAAACGGG
rnacentral:rRNA from 1 species